AACGAUGUUAUCUGUCUACUAAAUGUUGUCACAAGCAAUAUUACAGUUAAAAACAAUUGCGCCCAUUUUUAGCCGCGUGAGAGCGACUGCUGAAAAGUUUAGCCUGUUGCCUCGUGAAGUGACGUCAGAAUGACGUCACAUUGUCGCGGAAGAUUUGUUGUCACCAGCCAUCUUAGUUCAAGCUCACUCUAGACAUAUUAGAAGUCUACAACCAAGAGAUUGUGCAGCAACUGGAACUGGACAGAUGAUCUGUGAAUUCGGAUGAGGUGGAGAAAACAGUAUUGUGGGAGCAUAUUUGUUUAAAGUACAUCACUGACAGAAAGGUACCAAGGCUUAAGGAGAGACUAUGGAUACAGUUGAAGAUCAUCCCUGUGACUUUUCAUUUGAGGACUGAAAAGGCUCCUCAGCCACUCAGCCCAAGUUCUGACUUGUCAUUUAAUAAAUAAAAAAAGGUCACCUCAACCAGAAUUCUAUUGUCAUUUCGUUGCUGGGAAAUGGAUCU
rnacentral:lncRNA from 1 species